rnacentral:rRNA from 1 species
GGGCCCGCACAAGCGGUGGAGCAUGUGGUUUAAUUCGAUGAUACGCGAGGAACCUUACCAGGGCUUAAAUGUAGUGGGACAGGUCUAGAGAUAGACCCUUCUUCGGACUCAUUACAAGGUGCUGCAUGGUUGUCGUCAGCUCGUGCCGUGAGGUGUCAGGUUAAGUCCUAUAACGAGCGCAACCCCUAUCGUUAGUUGCCAGCGAGUAAUGUCGGGAACUCUAACGAAACUGCCAGUGCAAACUGUGAGGAAGGUGGGGAUGACGUCAAAUCAUCACGGCCCUUACGUCCUGGGCUACACACGUGCUACAAUGGCCGGUACAGAGAGCAGCCACUACGCGAGUAGGAGCGAAUCUAUAAAACCGGUCUCAGUUCGGAUCGCAGUCUGCAACUCGACUGCGUGAAGCUGGAAUC